CGCGAACUGACAUUGAUGUCAUGAUAUGAGUGUAAAACCAACUCUAGAAGGUCUAAAGCGCCGAGCAAACUGACGGAGAGAGCCCUCUUAAACGUCGCUUACACGUUUCCCCGAGAAGGUAUCUGCGAUUUGUUUAUCUUUUAAUCAAACUAAGGCAAAAGCAACUAUAAACAUCUAUCUCGACCAACUGUAGGACUUAUCUCUUUACACUGUGUUUCAAUCAUGGCUGAACCACAGAGUAAAGAUGUUACAGAGGCUCGACGAAGCCAUUUAGACAGAGCAAUCGUGCGGUAAGAGCGACCCGAGACAGCCCCAGUAAUUCCGGGACCUAUAUUGAAGGAUCGUUGUGGUCGUCAUUUGCCACAACAUCAAAGGCGUCGGACUACUGUCUCUCCUUAUACUGUGGCUGAACGGACUUCCUGAGGUAGUAUUUACACUAGUAUAAAGCUUGCCCCGGAAAACUUUACCUAUUACGAAGCUAACGGUUAGCUAUUUAAUACCAAUUUCAUCAAAAUUCAAAAAGCUCCAAUCGUAUACUUGGCUUAAGGCUGGUAAUAUACAUAUUACCCUUGAAUUAUCCAAAGGACUUAACGUACUUAGACUAAUAGAAUAAAAUAGAUGGAGCAACGCACUGCUGAGAAACAAAAUACAUAUGGAGAUGUCGGUGGAAAAAAAUGUCUGAAAAACUUGCAUUUGGGACACUUAUGUGUCUACUAAUUUAUAUAGAAAUAGAAAAUAUGUAUGGAGCGCUUUUAAGAUGUGCAAACGUGACGUAUUGUGUCGAUCUCCAUACAUUGCUAUACGAAGCAGUGUGCACUUAAUGUCUUGUGUUGCAGUCACAUACUUUUGGAGACUUUGCACAUGAUGCUAUUUUGAUUAGCAUUUGAAAAGCAUUAGAUGCAAUUAAUUAACGAAGUAGUUAAUACGGAACAAAUGUAAUCUGUACUUAUACUUUGUUUUCACAAAUCCAGUUUACAGCGCAGUUCAGAGCACCCGAAAAUGUUAUCAUAUGCAAAGGCGCUAAUGUUGCGCUAUUCAACUCUUUGAGUAGGUAUGAUACAUACACAACUAGCUUCACUUUGUACGCGACAGCUCCAUCUAUUUUUCCUUUAGUCUUUGUUAAAAUAUUUCAAUUUUUUUAUAUAUUUGGUUCCGUGGUACAUGAUCACUAUUAAAUAUAAAAUACGGAAUAACAAAAUAGUGAAAUAAAACUGCACAUUUUUUCCGUCUUACAAUCCCACGGAACUCGAUCGCUGAAAAGCGCGCCAAAUGUAACUGUCAAAUGACGUUUGACAUUUAUGUGAUUCUAAGCGCACAUAGAUUUAUUUUUAUUGAUGUUUUUCCAUGUUCAUAAAUAAUCGUUUAGUUAGUCAUUGGUAUUAAAAGUUAAAACCAAUAUUGUGGUUUUUCUUUUUAUUGUCUUAGAAAAAUUGAGUAUUUUAAAUAUCGUAUACAAUUAGGUAUUUAAGAUGCAUUCUAAAGUUUUUUUACCAAUUAGUUGAAAUAACAUCGAAAAAGAACCGGUCGACCGAUUAAUAUUUAUUUUAUAAUUUAAUCGGCUCAUGUGCUACUUUUUGUUACAUUUGACGUGUUUAGAGUCAAUCGUUAUCUCGUAUCUCUUUAAUUGUAUACAUUCGUUUCAAUUUUUAAAAUUCUACCCUCAUUUGUAGCUUUUAUUAGACGUGGAUUCCACAGCCAACUUUCACAGAAGAAUUCUAGCAUUCACUGCACUCUGAACAAUAACUUGGAUGUCGUAGCGAUGGGCGAUUGUUGCAAAAAAAAGAACAAUUGAAUGAAUCGAACAAUUGAACAAUCGAUUGUCGAUUUAUUUGUCUUCACAAAAAACAAUCGAAUAAAAAUUGUCAACCAAUUCUUAAAUUUUUCGAUUGCUGUAAUCUACGAAUGCGGAGUUCACGGUCUGGAAUGAAUGAAUCGAAAACCUAAAUCAAUUGAACAAUUCCAUGCGAUUUUCGAUUAAUUCGUCCUAGACCCGUGCGCUUGUAACAUUGAACAAGCGAAAACAAACGAUUGUUUAAUUAUUAUCAAAUAAUCCCGACAAUCGAUUAGUUCGAUUGUUAUUCGAAUGAAUCGCCCAUCGUUUGGUACACAAAAGUAGUUGACCGCGACGGUCAACGGUAAAAUUGAUGUUUCCUGUCUUCGAAUUAGCUAGUUUUGACAGCGGAACGUAGAACUCUGAACUCCGAACUCUGGCAGUGGUAUCAAUGCCUUAGCUACGUGAUUGUUGCAUUUUUGUUCUCGUGUGUAGAAGGCAAUGUCAGGUAUCAAGACAUAAAAUAGAGCUUAUAAUCUCAUCGCAUUUCAACAGUGUAAAAUAUCAUUUAAUUUAUCGUAUACAUCGGUUACAAAUUGUGCUAUAUCAUGAACACCAAGGCAGGGUGAAACUACACUCGCGGACAUUAAAAUCGACUCAGAAUCAGAAAUAGUUUUUGUGUGGAAAAUACACUGCUAAGAGCAUUAAGAAGGUGUUACUUUUUAUUAAUUGCAAUGCACAUUCAAUUUAAGUUAAGUUUCGCCGUUUGUUCCGAGUCGAUUUUGUUGCUCGUAAGUUUAUUAUAUUAUAUGAUACCAAUAAUAAUAUAUAUAUACUAUACAAUGUAAUUCAAAGAUAUGUACGUUAUUUGCCUGUAAAGCAAAAUUGCAAAACUGUUGUUUUCUUUUUUUAGUAAUAGAUUCAUCGUGAAAUUGACAUUUACUUACUAUACGUAAUAAUUUGAGCUUUUUCCAUUAUUGUAAUAAAUUAAAUGACAGCGAUUUUUAAAGUAAAGAAUAGUACUUA